AGUGAACGCUGGCGGUAGGCCUAACACAUGCAAGUCGAACGGCAGCACAGUAAGAGCUUGCUCUUACGGGUGGCGAGUGGCGGACGGGUGAGGAAUACAUCGGAAUCUACUUUUUCGUGGGGGAUAACGGAGGGAAACUUACGCUAAUACCGCAUACGACCUACGGGUGAAAUCAGGGGAUCUUCGGACCUUGCGCGAUUGAAUGAGCCGAUGUCGGAUUAGCUAGUUGGCGGGGUAAAGGCCCACCAAGGCGACGAUCCGUAGCUGGUCUGAGAGGAUGAUCAGCCACACUGGAACUGAGACACGGUCCAGACUCCUACGGGAGGCAGCAGUGGGGAAUAUUGGACAAUGGGCGCAAGCCUGAUCCAGCCAUACCGCGUGGGUGAAGAAGGCCUUCGGGUUGUAAAGCCCUUUUGUUGGGAAAGAAAAGCAGCAGGUUAAUCCACCGAUGUUCUGACGGUACCCAAAGAAUAAGCAACGGCUAACUUCGUG
rnacentral:rRNA from 1 species